AUCGAAGUACCUUUAGAAAUUUUUUAAUUUAUCUUUUCUACUUCACAUCUGAAUUCUUUGAAUAUUUCAAAGUCUUUUAGAUUUAUAUCCCACAUACAUAUCGAUACCAUGACUUUUUAUCGGUAAAGAUGAUGAAGUAGUGAUAACCUCCUAGUAUGGCUCAUAAAAUAUGACUUGCACAUCUGGGGCAAGUAUCUCAAAGGUUCUAUCCCUUCAUC
rnacentral:lncRNA from 1 species